rnacentral:rRNA from 1 species
GACGAACGCUGGCGGCGUGCCUAAUACAUGCAAGUCGAACGCACUCUCGUUUAGAUUGAAGGAGCUUGCUCCUGAUUGAUAAACAUUUGAGUGAGUGGCGGACGGGUGAGUAACACGUGGGUAACCUGCCCUAAAGUGGGGGAUAACAUUUGGAAACAGAUGCUAAUACCGCAUAAAACCUAACACCGCAUGGUGUAGGGUUGAAAGAUGGUUUCGGCUAUCACUUUAGGAUGGACCCGCGGUGCAUUAGUUAGUUGGUGAGGUAAAGGCUCACCAAGACCGUGAUGCAUAGCCGACCUGAGAGGGUAAUCGGCCACACUGGGACUGAGACACGGCCCAGACUCCUACGGGAGGCAGCAGUAGGGAAUCUUCCACAAUGGACGAAAGUCUGAUGGAGCAACGACCGCGUGAGUGAAGAAGG